GACAGAGGGUGCAAACGUUGUUCGGAAUUACUGGGCGUAAAGCGCGUGUAGGCUGCUUCGAAAGUCGGAUGUGAAAGCCCUGGGCUCAACCUAGGAAGUGCACUCGAAACUUCGAAGCUGGAGUCCUGGAGAGGAAGGCGGAAGUUCUCGGUGUAGAGGUGAAAUUCGUAGAUAUCGAGAGGAACACCGGUGGCGAAGGGCGGGCCUUACUGGACCAUGUGACG
rnacentral:rRNA from 1 species